UACGAAGGGGGCGAGCGUUGUUCGGAAUUACUGGGCGUAAAGAGCUCGUAGGUGGUUUGUCGCGUUGUUCGUGAAAACUCACAACUCAAUUGUGGGCGUGCGGGCGAUACGGGCAGACUGGAGUACUGCAGGGGAGACUGGAAUUCCUGGUGUAGCGGUGGAAUGCGCAGAUAUCAGGAGGAACACCGGUGGCGAAGGCGGGUCUCUGGGCAGUAACUGACGCUGAGGAGCGAAAGCGUGGGGGAGCGAACAGG
rnacentral:rRNA from 1 species